GACAGAAGGGAGCUUGCUCCCGGAUGUUAGCGGCGGACGGGUGAGUAACACGUGGGUAACCUGCCUGUAAGACUGGGAUAACUCCGGGAAACCGGAGCUAAUACCGGAUAGUUCCUUGAACCGCAUGGUUCAAGGAUGAAAGACGGUUUCGGCUGUCACUUACAGAUGGACCCGCGGCGCAUUAGCUAGUUGGUGGGGUAAUGGCUCACCAAGGCGACGAUGCGUAGCCGACCUGAGAGGGUGAUCGGCCACACUGGGACUGAGACACGGCCCAGACUCCUACGGGAGGCAGCAGUAGGGAAUCUUCCGCAAUGGACGAAAGUCUGACGGAGCAACGCCGCGUGAGUGAUGAAGGUUUUCGGAUCGUAAAGCUCUGUUGUUAGGGAAGAACAAGUGCGAGAGUAACUGCUCGCACCUUGACGGUACCUAACCAGAAAGCCACGGCUAACUACGUGCCAGCAGCCGCGGUAAUACGUAGGUGGCAAGCGUUGUCCGGAAUUAUUGGGCGUAAAGGGCUCGCAGGCGGUUUCUUAAGUCUGAUGUGAAAGCCCCCGGCUCAACCGGGGAGGGUCAUUGGAAACUGGGAAACUUGAGUGCAGAAGAGGAGAGUGGAAUUCCACGUGUAGCGGUGAAAUGCGUAGAGAUGUGGAGGAACACCAGUGGCGAAGGCGACUCUCUGGUCUGUAACUGACGCUGAGGAGCGAAAGCGUGGGGAGCGAACAGGAUUAGAUACCCUGGUAGUCCACGCCGUAAACGAUGAGUGCUAAGUGUUAGGGGGUUUCCGCCCCUUAGUGCUGCAGCUAAC
rnacentral:rRNA from 1 species